rnacentral:rRNA from 1 species
AGUGAACGCUGGCGGUAGGCCUAACACAUGCAAGUCGAACGGCAGCACAGUAAGAGCUUGCUCUUACGGGUGGCGAGUGGCGGACCGGUGAGGAAUACAUCGGAAUCUACUUUUUCAUGGGGGAUAACGUAGGGAAACUUACGCUAAUACCGCAUACGACCUACGGGUGAAAGCAGGGGAUCUUCGGACCUUGCGCGAUUGAAUGAGCCGAUGUCGGAUUAGCUAGUUGGCGGGGUAAAGGCCCACCAAGGCGACGAUCCGUAGCUGGUCUGAGAGGAUGAUCAGCCACACUGGAACUGAGACACGGUCCAGACUCCUACGGGAGGCAGCAGUGGGGAAUAUUGGACAAUGGGCGCAAGCCUGAUCCAGCCAUACCGCGUGGGUGAAGAAGGCCUUCGGUUUGUAAAGCCCUUUUGUUGGGAAAGAAAAGCAGCAGGUUAAUACCCCGCUGUUCUGACGGUACCCAAAGAAUAAGCACCUGCUAACUUCGUG